rnacentral:lncRNA from 1 species
CCAGGGCCUGUGCAACCAAAUCCUCAACCUUUACCAUAGUUUAAAAUCUCAAAGCUAGAUCUAGGCAAAUCAGUGUAAGGUUUGUUAUUGCCAGGUGUGGUGGUAAAUGCCAUUAAUCCCAGCACUCACAAGUCAGUCUGAAGCCACAUGUGUACACGAGUUCAGGGCACCCAAGACUACACAGUGAGACCAUUUCAAUAAUGAUGAUGAUAAGGAAGAAGGAGGAAGAAGAAGAAGAGAAGGAAGAGGAGAAGGAAAAGGAAUAGCAGCAGCAGCAGCAGGAGGAGGAGGAAGAGGAGGAAGAGGAGGAGGAAGAGGAGGUAGUAGUAAUAGUAGUAGUAGUAGUAGAAGUAGCGGCGGCUGCUACUUCGUGUGGUAGUAUACACCUUUGUCCCAGCACUCUGGAGGCAGAGAUUAAGGAGUGUGCAACACCACUGCCUGGCUUACUUCAACCAUGAUUUGCUGGAAAGACAUUAAGUUCUGACCAAACCAACUGAGGUAUUCUAACAAUAGCUAAAUGAAUAAAUCCCAUUACACUUAUCAGGUUCAAUAACAGGAUUUGUUUGGUAACAUUUUGAUCAAUAUAAAGCACACUUCCUUUUAAGCCUGAAAUUUUAAACACUGACUAAAAAUAGCUUUUAAAGUAUAUUAUUUUUUAUUUAAUCUAUUUUAAAAU